rnacentral:rRNA from 1 species
GAUGAACGCUGGCGGCGUGCCUAAUACAUGCAAGUCGAGCGAACAGACGAGGAGCUUGCUCCUCUGACGUUAGCGGCGGACGGGUGAGUAACACGUGGAUAACCUACCUAUAAGACUGGGAUAACUUCGGGAAACCGGAGCUAAUACCGGAUAAUAUAUUGAACCGCAUGGUUCAAUAGUGAAAGACGGUUUUGCUGUCACUUAUAGAUGGAUCCGCGCCGCAUUAGCUAGUUGGUAAGGUAACGGCUUACCAAGGCGACGAUGCGUAGCCGACCUGAGAGGGUGAUCGGCCACUCUGGCACUGAGACACGGUCCAGACUCCUACGGGGGGCAGCAGUAGGGAAUCUUCCGCAAUGGGCGAAAGCCUGACGGAGCAACGCCGCGUGAGUGAUGAAGGUCUUCGGAUCGUAACACUCUGUUAUUAGGGAAGAACAAAUGUGUAAGUAACUAUGCACGUCUUGACGGUACCUAAUCAGAAGGCCACGGCUCACUACG